GGCGGGCCUUAUGCAUGCAAGUCGAACGCACUCGACCUUCGGGUCAUAUGAGUGAGUGGCGAACGGGUGAGUAACACGUGAGAAACCUGCCCCGAAGACUGGAAUAACCCGGGGAAACUCGGGCUAAUACCGGAUACCCCCAAUUGAUCGCAUGGUCGAUUGAGGAAAUGCUCCGGCGCUUCGGGAGGGUCUCGCGGCCUAUCAGCUAGUUGGUGAGGUAACGGCUCACCAAGGCAACGACGGGUAGCUGGUCUGAGAGGACGAUCAGCCACACUGGGACUGAGACACGGCCCAGACUCCUACGGGAGGCAGCAGCAGGGAAUCUUGCGCAAUGGGCGAAAGCCUGACGCAGCCACGCCGCGUGAGGGAUGAAGGCUCUAGGGUCGUAAACCUCUUUCAGCAGGGACGAAAAUGACGGUACCUGCAGAAGAAGCUCCGGCCAACUACGUGCCAGCAGCCGCGGUAACACGUAGGGGGCGAGCGUUGUCCGGAUUUAUUGGGCGUAAAGAGCUCGUAGGCUGUUCAGUAAGUCAGGUGUGAAAACUCGAGGCUCAACCUCGAGACGCCACCUGAUACUGCUGUGACUAGAGUCCGGUAGGGGAGUGUGGAAUUCCUGGUGUAGCGGUGAAAUGCGCAGAUAUCAGGAGGAACACCAGCAGCGAAGGCGGCACUCUGGGCCGGUACUGACGCUCAGGAGCGAAAGCAUGGGGAGCGAACAGGAUUAGAUACCCUGGUAGUCCAUGCCGUAAACGUUGGGCACUAGGUGUGGGAUUUAACUAACAAAUUCCGUGCCGUAGCUAACGCAUUAAGUGCCCCGCCUGGGG
rnacentral:rRNA from 1 species